rnacentral:rRNA from 1 species
UGGGGAAUAUUGCACAAUGGGCGCAAGCCUGAUGCAGCAACGCCGCGUUAACGAUGAAGGUCUUCGGAUCGUAAAGUUCUGUUGCAGGGGAAGAUAAUGACGGUACCCUGUGAGGAAGCCCCGGCUAACUACGUGCCAGCAGCCGCGGUAAUACGUAGGGGGCUAGCGUUAUCCGGAUUUACUGGGCGUAAAGGGUGCGUAGGUGGUCUUUCAAGUCGGUGGUUAAAGGCUACGGCUCAACCGUAGUUAGCCUCCGAAACUGGAAGACUUGAGUGCAGGAGAGGAAAGUGGAAUUCCCAGUGUAGCGGUGAAAUGCGUAGAUAUUGGGAGGAACACCAGUAGCGAAGGCGGCUUUCUGGACUGCAACUGACACUGAGGCACUAAAGCGUGGGUAGCAAACAGG